CAGGGAGACUCAGGUAAUUAAGCACUUUCUGCCCAGAUGCUCUGAAAUGUUUUAUGAACUUUGGGAAAUCACAACUAGAUAAGGUAAUCUGGAAAACAGUCUUUCCAGUGGUAAUCAGCAG